rnacentral:rRNA from 1 species
UACGUAGGGUGCAAGCGUUAAUCGGAAUUACUGGGCGUAAAGCGUGCGCAGGCGGUUGUGUAAGACAGAUGUGAAAUCCCCGGGCUCAACCUGGGAACUGCAUUUGUGACUGCACGGCUGGAGUGCGGCAGAGGGGGAUGGAAUUCCACGUGUAGCAGUGAAAUGCGUAGAUAUGUGGAGGAACACCGAUGGCGAAGGCAGCCCCCUGGGAUGUGACUGACGCUCAUGUACGAAAGCGUGGGGAGCAAACAGG